rnacentral:rRNA from 1 species
UACGUAGGCAGCAAGCGUUGUUCGGAGUUACUGGGCGUAAAGCGUGCGCAGGCGGUUAUGCAAGACAGAUGUGAAAUCCCCGGGCUCAACCUGGGAACUGCAUUUGUGACUGCAUAGCUAGAGUACGGUAGAGGGGGAUGGAAUUCCGCGUGUAGCAGUGAAAUGCGUAGAUAUGCGGAGGAACACCGAUGGCGAAGGCAAUCCCCUGGACCUGUACUGACGCUCAUGCACGAAAGCGCGGGGAGCAAACAGG